rnacentral:rRNA from 1 species
UACGGAGGGUCCGAGCGUUAUCCGGAAUCAUUGGGUUUAAAGGGUCCGCAGGCGGUCAAUUAAGUCAGAGGUGAAAUCCCAUAGCUUAACUAUGGAACUGCCUUUGAUACUGGCAAACUUGAGUUAUUGUGAAGUAGUUAGAAUGUGUAGUGUAGCGGUGAAAUGCAUAGAUAUUACACAGAAUACCGAUUGCGAAGGCAGUCUACUACGUAUAUACUGACGCUAAUGGACGAAAGCGUGGGGAGCGAACAGG